rnacentral:rRNA from 1 species
CCUACGGGUGGCUGCAGUGAGGAAUAUUGGUCAAUGGACGUGAGUCUGAACCAGCCAAGUAGCGUGAGGGAUGACUGCCCUAUGGGUUGUAAACUUCUUUUAUAUGGGAAUAAAACGUUCCACGUGUGGUCUUUUGUAUGUACCUUAUGAAUAAGGAUCGGCUAACUCCGUGCCAGCAGCCGCGGUAAUACGGAGGAUCCGAGCGUUAUCCGGAUUUAUUGGGUUUAAAGGGAGCGUAGGUGGAUUGUUAAGUCAGUUGUGAAAGUUUGCGGCUCAACCGUAAAAUUGCAGUUGAAACUGGCAGUCUUGAGUACAGUAGAGGUAGGCGGAAUGCGUGGUGUAGCGGUGAAAUGCUUAGAUAUCACGAAGAACUCCGAUUGCGAAGGCAGUUCACUGGACUGCAACUGACGCUGAGGCACGAAAGUGUGGGUAUCAAACAGGAUUAGAUACCCUUGUAGUC